UCUGACUAUAUUAGAGAUAAUCA
rnacentral:siRNA from 1 species